rnacentral:lncRNA from 1 species
CACAACCGCGCUGGUCUUCGUGGUGACGUACCUGUUGAGUCGCUUCUAUAGCCAUGUGUCCAAGUACCCGAAGGGACCCUUCCCGCUUCCACUCGUGGGUAACCUGCUAGCUUUGCGCAACGUGACUGACUUGCACGCCAAGUCAACCGAAUGGUCAAAGACAUACGGCGACGCCUUCACUUUGUGGAUGGCCCACAGGCCGAUGGUGAUGCUGAACAGCUACGCUGUUAUUCGGGAAGCACUGGUGGAGAGACGGCAUGAUUUCGCCGGCCGCUUUCCAACUAGAACAGCUGUCUUGCAAAACCAAGGCAACCACGAUAUCGUAUUCGAGGAUUACAACGCCCAUUGGAAGGCUCUUCGGAAGGUGGCUUUGUCAGCGGUGAGGCAA